GACGAACGCUGGCGGCGCGCCUAAUACAUGCAAGUCGAACGCUUCUUUCCUCCCGAGUGCUUGCACUCAAUUGGAAAGAGGAGUGGCGGACGGGUGAGUAACACGUGGGUAACCUACCCAUCAGAGGGGGAUAACACUUGGAAACAGGUGCUAAUACCGCAUAACAGUUUAUGCCGCAUGGCAUAAGAGUGAAAGGCGCUUUCGGGUGUCGCUGAUGGAUGGACCCGCGGUGCAUUAGCUAGUUGGUGAGGUAACGGCUCACCAAGGCCACGAUGCAUAGCCGACCUGAGAGGGUGAUCGGCCACACUGGGACUGAGACACGGCCCAGACUCCUACGGGAGGCAGCAGUAGGGAAUCUUCGGCAAUGGACGAAAGUCUGACCGAGCAACGCCGCGUGAGUGAAGAAGGUUUUCGGAUCGUAAAACUCUGUUGUUAGAGAAGAACAAGGACGUUAGUAACUGAACGUCCCCUGACGGUAUCUAACCAGAAAGCCACGGCUAACUACGUG
rnacentral:rRNA from 1 species